GCUGGCGGCAGGCCUAACACAUGCAAGUCGAACGGUAACAGGAAAGCAGCUUGCUGCUUUGCUGACGAGUGGCGGACGGGUGAGUAAUGUCUGGGAAACUGCCUGAUGGAGGGGGAUAACUACUGGAAACGGUAGCUAAUACCGCAUAACGUCGCAAGACCAAAGAGGGGGACCUUCGGGCCUCUUGCCAUCGGAUGUGCCCAGAUGGGAUUAGCUAGUAGGUGGGGUAACGGCUCACCUAGGCGACGAUCCCUAGCUGGUCUGAGAGGAUGACCAGCCACACUGGAACUGAGACACGGUCCAGACUCCUACGGGAGGCAGCAGUGGGGAAUAUUGCACAAUGGGCGCAAGCCUGAUGCAGCCAUGCCGCGUGUAUGAAGAAGGCCUUCGGGUUGUAAAGUACUUUCAGCGGGGAGGAAGGGAGUAAAGUUAAUACCUUUGCUCAUUGACGUUACCCGCAGAAGAAGCACCGGCUAACUCCGUGCCAGCAGCCGCGGUAAUACGGAGGGUGCAAGCGUUAAUCGGAAUUACUGGGCGUAAAGCGCACGCAGGCGGUUUGUUAAGUCAGAUGUGAAAUCCCCGGGCUCAACCUGGGAACUGCAUCUGAUACUGGCAAGCUUGAGUCUCGUAGA
rnacentral:rRNA from 1 species